rnacentral:rRNA from 1 species
GAUGAACGCUGGCGGCGUGCCUAAUACAUGCAAGUCGAGCGAACGGACGAGAAGCUUGCUUCUCUGAUGUUAGCGGCGGACGGGUGAGUAACACGUGGAUAACCUACCUAUAAGACUGGGAUAACUUCGGGAAACCGUAGCUAAUACCGGAUAAUAUUUUGAACCGCAUGGUUCAAAAGUGAAAGACGGUCUUGCUGUCACUUAUAGAUGGAUCCGCGCUGCAUUAGCUAGUUGGUAAGGUAACGGCUUACCAAGGCAACGAUGCAUAGCCGACCUGAGAGGUGGAUCGGCCACACGGGAACUGAGAAACGGUCCAGACUCCUACGGGAGGAAGCAGUAGGGAAUCUUCCGCAAUGGGCGAAAGCUUGACGGAGCAAGGCGGCGGGAGUGAUGAAGGCCUCCGGAUCGUAAAACCCUGUUAUUAGGAAAGAAAAAAGGUGUAGGUAACUGGGCACAUCUUGACGGUACCUAACAAGAAAGCCACGGCAAACUACGU